rnacentral:rRNA from 1 species
UACGGGGGGGGCAAGCGUUGUUCGGAAUUACUGGGCGUAAAGGGCUCGUAGGCGGCCAACUAAGUCCGACGUGAAAUCCCAAGGCUUAACCUUGGAACUGCGUCGGAUACUGGAUGGCUUGAAUUCGGGAGAGGGAUGCAGAAUUCCAGGUGUAGCGGUGAAAUGCGUAGAUAUCUGGAGGAACACCGGUGGCGAAGGCGGCAUCCUGGACCGGUAUUGACGCUGAGGCGCGAAAGCUAGGGGAGCAAACGGG